rfam:Camelus ferus unplaced genomic scaffold scaffold1889, whole genome shotgun sequence.
GAGGGUAUAGCUCAAGUGGUAGAGCGCAGGCUUAGCAUGCACAAGGUCCUGGGUUCGAUCCCCAGUAUCUCCU